rnacentral:rRNA from 1 species
UGGUAGCGUAGCUAACGCGAGAAGUUGACCGCCUGGGGAGUACGGCCGCAAGGUUAAAACUCAAAGGAAUUGACGGGGACCCGCACAAGCGGUGGAUGAUGUGGAUUAAUUCGAUGCAACGCGAAAAACCUUACCUGCUCUUGACAUGUACCGAAAGCCGAAGAGAUUUGGCUGUGCCCGAAAGGGAGCGGUAACACAGGUGCUGCAUGGCUGUCGUCAGCUCGUGUCGUGAGAUGUUGGGUUAAGUCCCGCAACGAGCGCAACCCUUGUCAUUAGUUGCCAUCAUUCAGUUGGGCACUCUAAUGAGACUGCCGGUGACAAACCGGAGGAAGGUGGGGAUGACGUCAAGUCCUCAUGGCCCUUAUGAGCAGGGCUUCACACGUCAUACAAUGGUCGGUACAGAGGGUCGCGAAGCCGCGAGGUGAGCCAAUCUCAAAAAACCGAUCGGUCCGGAUCGCACUCUGCAACUCGAGUGCGUGAAGUCGGAAUCGCUAGUA